UACGUAGGGGGCAAGCGUUGUCCGGAUUUAUUGGGCGUAAAGCGCACGUAGGCGGCUUCGCAAGUCGGAUGUGAAAUACCUAGGCUCAACCAAGGACGUGCAUCCGAAACUGCGAGGCUUGAGUACAGAAGAGGAUCGCGGAAUUCCCGGUGUAGAGGUGAAAUUCGUAGAUAUCGGGAGGAACACCUGUGGCGAAGGCGGCCGCCUGGUUGGGUACUGGACGCUGAGACGCGAAAGCGUGGGGAGCAAACAGGG
rnacentral:rRNA from 1 species